CUGAAAAAAAUUUAAUAAAAACCCACCGGAAAUUAUGUGCACGACUUGAUUGGAAUGUCAGAUAAAGUCAAAUGGAUUUCAGCGUAAAUUAAGUUGCCAGAAAAAUGGAGAAUUUCCACCCAACACCCAGCUGCUGUCUAAGCUUUUUUUUUAUUAUCCUAAAUUUUUGAGGGAAAAUGGUGUAAAAAAUAUACAUUUUUGGUCUAGUUUGGAGAUUUUAUAUUGAUUCUAAAAAAAAUAAAUAUUCACCAUAAGAACUGAUGAAAGCCCAAGAAGGAAGGAUUAUCCUUUUCUUUCCGAAAUAAAAAGGAUAAAAUUAAAUGAUACAAAACCGGUUAGACCGGUCGUAUCCAUGACGAAAUAUUGUGGUAUUUUUUAUGAAAAUAUUUGAUCCAUUUCGCAUAUGAAUAUCUCCGGUGAAUGGGAAUAAAUUAAACCCCUUUCGGGAUGCAGCUGGCCAAGUUUCGGGCAUAUUCAGAGCGCGACGAAGGAAAAACAACAACAUCCAUAUAUACAACUAGCCGGUCGUGGCCCCCGGCCCCGCCCCACUUUGGGGCAUUAGAGAGCGACAUUUUCUUAACAAGCCAAAAGGACAUUUGCUGUCCCCCGAGGAGCCAACGAGACCAGGGAGCGAGAAGAGUCCUUGCACAAAGGUUCCAAACGAAGCACAACAAGAGUCGAAGGAAAAAAUGAGGGAAAAACUCUGGAAAAAGUCGACGUAAUGGAAAGUUGCCCGGGCAGCUCUCCGCUCGGGUCUCAUUAGCGCUGGUUGCCACGGGACGGAGGCAAGCAAGGCUGAGACUUCGUCCAGGACACUUCUAAGGAGGCAGGUCCCCGGACCCGGCGCCCGGGACACAAGACCCGGGCAAGACACAAAAUUAAAAGCUGAUGAGCGUGAAUGUUGGGCAAAAUAAAAAGAUUUCUUAACGUAUUUGCGUAGUUUGUGCCCGGCAUUUUUUCCAUUCCUCCCCAUUAGCAUUGGAAGGAAAAUGCGACAGGAAAUAUGAGCAGCAAAUGGAGUGGAUGCCGUGGAAAAAGGACGUUCGAUAGAAGCUGAUGAUGGUCACUAGAUGAUGUGCACUUAGCAGAUAGAUACAGAUACAGCAUACACAGACAGAAAACAGAAUACUUAAUAGCCUUAAUUAAUUGAAUUUAAAGUUGAUUCUGAAGACUUUAAGAUACAAGGAUCUACUUGGUACAAUAUAUGUACUUUUUAUACUUAUGGAAAUUAGUUCGACAGGAUAUUUAGUCCUGUAGAUUUUAAAUCUAAUUCGAAUAAAGUUGAAUUAAUGAUAUAAGAAAUA